AAUAGUGCGUUGCUAUAUUAGCAAAACCUAAUAAGGAGCUAUUUAAAAAAGAUAAUUUUUGUUUUAAGGAAUACAAUCCUCGAAAUGGGGCGGAAAAACAAGGCCCGAAUAACAGAAAUUAAAAUUCUAAGCAAGGCCAGAAUACGAAAAGAAAUAACGAUAAACAACCAAAUAAUAAUACAAGUUUUGAAACCGGAUAUAAUCGUGGCUAACCCGGGUAUAUUAAAAACGAACUUUCGCCCAAUGGAAUAGAAGGAAAUGGUUUGAAAUAAACGCCUUUUAACAAUAACGAAAAACCAUUGGUUCCUUUUCCUGGAAACGCUCCGGAUGGAAACGUUAAAACUAUAGGGUGGUUCGGUGGUUGGGGUAUUAGAUAUAUUAAUAUAUAUAAUAAUAAAAGCGCUCCGACGUAUCGCAUUAAAAAGUACUGUUAUCCCCCAAAUUACAAAAAUGAAAAAUAUACGAUAUAUUAAAAACAGAAUAUUUCCAACCAGGAAAACAAAUAUGGAGAAAAAAUGGAAAACGGUAAAUAUAAAUAUACCGGGCGUUAUAUAUUUGGAAUUUACGGGGUUGCCUGGAUACGUAAUUUGGAUAUUUCCCCGCAUAAACUGGAUUUAAUCGAUCCGCAGCGGAAAAAGAAACCUAACAUUUAUAUCUUCGUUAAAUGGAAAAUUAAUGGGAAAAAAAUAAAAUCCUGGGAAACGCGGACCUAUAUUCGACAAUUGUGGAAAAAGUUAAAGAAAACAAACCAGGUUAUUUACAAUGCGGCGUUUAAGGCCGAAAACAAAUAUAGGAUAACUUAGGGCUUGGGGCGUUUAAACAGCCGGUCGCCGUUUGUCGGCCUUAUCCACAAUAUAAUUAAAUAAAAGCGAGCGGAAUUCCUAAAUCCAGUUUUAUCAAUUUAAAAGCGCGUUAAAAUACCAAAUUAGACGGCCAAUCCCAUUCCGGCAAAUAUUUCGAUCGCCCAACUUUUUACAAUAUUUCCGGUUUCCGGAGGUACAGUUGCGAAACACACGGUAUCCAUAUAUCCAAUCGCAUCGGCCCUUUCCCAUGGUAUAAUAUCGCCCGAUUACGCACCCAUUCAAAUAACUAAUUUCAAUCCGAUAAAAUUUAUUCCCAUAUUUAACCAGUUUUUUAACUUUAUAUAAUCCGCUCAGGCCUUUACCCCGGCUACGUUAUAUAUAUAAAUCGUGCCUUUUAUUUAUUUACUGGUUUUAACACCUUUCAAAUUCCCUAAUAUUUGGUAAUUUGUUUAAUAUUAAAUUAAUAUAACCAGCCCUUUUCAGUUAUUUGGUUUUAUUUUAGCAUUAUAUAAAAUGGAAUACCGUCUUAGGAUAAAUUAAUCCCUUUAAAAACUUUAUAAUUCGAAAAACCAUUUUCCAGGAUAUAUAUAUAUAUAUAUAAUGGCAAAUAUUUAAUUCCCUGUAACAGUUUUUUUCCCCUUUGUUUAUCCUCUGACAAAAACGGCCCUUGCGAAUUAUUUCACCUUAUAUAGCUGGUUUGGUCCUUGUAACUUUGGCUAAAAGGUAAUAUCGGUGGGCAAAUUAUAAAUUAUUUGCAUUCCGAAAAAUAGAAAAUAAAAACUUUUGCCGUUAUCCGAAACAUAAUAUUAAUCUAUUAAGAGCGAUGGGGAACAGUUAUUAAAAUUAUAAAAAUUGCUAAUAUUUGCAACUAAACCUCGUAGCGAAUUUAUUUUUACCACCAAAACUUUUAGGAAUUCCUAAAUAUCUUUCACAUUUUCCUUCAAACCAAGGACUAAAUCGUUAACUUUUCUAAUUUCUUACCGGUAUUCCGAACAAUAAUUCCUUAUGCAAAUCGGACCCGAAAAAAAAUAUAAUUCUAAUAUCUUAUUUUCAGAAGAAAUAUUUUUAUCAGGCAUAAUAAAGUCGAUUAGACUCCCGGUGCUGUCGGAAUUAACGGAGCUGACUUUUUCAACUAAUUAAUUAAUAAAUCUUUGCCCCAUAAUUAAUAUACGGUCGUUUUCGACACCCUGUCGCUUACCGCUAAAUAAUUUGCUGGAACGCAUAUUUGCUGUUAAUAUUAAAUAGGAGUAGUAUAGCUGGUAUUGUAAUGUA
rnacentral:sRNA from 1 species